ensembl:lncRNA
CGGCAGUUAGCCUAGUGGUUAGAGUGUAGGGACGGCAGGUAGCCUAGUGGUUAGAGUGUAGGGACGGCAGGUAGCCUAGUGGUUAGAGUGUCGGGACGGCAGGUAGCCUAGUGGUUAGAGUGUAGGGACGGCAGGUAGCCUAGUGGUUAGAGUGUAGGGACGGCAGGGUAGCCUAGUGGUUAGAGUGUAGGGACGGCAGGUAGCCUAGUGGUUAGAGUGUAGGGACGGCAGGGUAGCCUAGUGGUUAGAGUGUAGGGACGGCAGGUAGCCUAGUGGUUAGAGUGUAGGGACGGCAGGUAGCCUAGUGGUUAGAGUGUAGGGACGGCAGGGUAGCCUAGUGGUUAGAGUGUAGGGACGGCAGGUAGCCUAGUGGUUAGAGUGUAGGGACGGCAGGUAG